UGGACUAGAAGGGUUAAUGGGGAGGGAACAUAUGUAAUACUUUCAACAAUAAAGAUUUAAAUAAAUGAAGUUUAUAAAAUGCAGCAUACCAAAAUUGACAUUGAGCUUAAUUAAGCAUUGCUGCUGAGGGAAAAUUCCAUGCCUUUAAGUACAUAUAUUAGAAAACAAGAAUGUUUUAAACUCAGUAUUGUAAGCUACCAGCGUAAGCUAGAAAAA